UACGUAGGGGGCAAGCGUUAUCCGGGUUUACUGGGUGUAAAGGGAGCGUAGACGGCCAGACAAGUCUGAAGUGAAAAUCCAGCGCUUAACGUUGGAAGUGCUUUGGAAACUGCCGGGCUAGAGUGCAGGAGGGGCAGGCGGAAUUCCUAGUGUAGCGGUGAAAUGCGUAGAUAUUAGGGGGAACACCAGUGGCGAAGGCGGCCUGCUGGACUGCAACUGACGUUGAGGCUCGAAGGCGUGGGGAGCAAACAGG
rnacentral:rRNA from 1 species